GGGUGCAAUCAUACCAGCGUUAAUGCAACGGAUCCCAUCAGAACUUCGUAGUUAAGCGCGCUUGUGCUAGAGAAGUACUGGGAUGGGUGACCUCCCGGAAAGUCCUAGUGUUACACCUU
rnacentral:rRNA from 1 species